rnacentral:lncRNA from 1 species
AGUUAAGUUGGAGAGCCCAUUCCUUUUUGUAACCUAAUGUCAGCUGAGGGUGCUUGUCCUUUGAGUCAAAUGACAUUGGCUCCAAUUCUCACGUCCUGUGGAAAGUCCAAUGCCCUCCCCAGGAUUUCUGUGAAUUACUGGGUGAAGGGGACCUUAGAUUUUCACAGUCACCUCUGGCUCUACUUUUCUGCCUUGUUUGGAAUUUUAUUUAUUGUUCCAGUCUUGUGACUAUUUCUUUAGUUCCUGCUGUCAGCUCAGCCCCUUCUCCUUUCAACCUCCACACCUAUUCCAGAGCAACCACAAAAUGAGGCAGCAACAUAUAGCAGAACUUUUAAUGAAGGUUUUUGGAUCACAGGAGGGAGGUUACAUAACACAGCAAACAAUUUAAAAUCACAUUUUUGAAACGAUCCAAACAGUUAUUUUGGCUGUCUCACCACCCUGGGAUUUCUCAAUGGUCACACCACCCCACAAAACUCCCUAGUCCAUUUCCCAUCUAGCUUCCUCCAGUUCUUUCCUCCCCUUCCCAUCCUUCACCUCCUCCCCCCCUCCUUUGUGGGCCUUGAGAAACCAGGUUGUUCUCUAAUGUGCUGAGCAAGUCAAGUCUUCCCCGGUGACCUUUCCCUAAAUUCUGCUCUAAGCCCACCCGUUUAUAACCAGGAACCCACCAGGUUUGAGUCAACCUUGUCAAGAAAGAAGUUGUGGUUCUGAUCCCCCCCACCCACUGAUUUAUUUUCACAGUUGGGGAGGGUGUGAAAUGGUCACUUCUGGGGCCCCAGAAGUCUUCAUAGAGAAAACCUGUGUCCCAACGGUUUAUGAAGCAUCGUGUUUGAAGAGGGCCUGGCAGGGCACGUACUCUGCUGCCAUGGCCCGCCUGGCUGAAUGGUUCACGGAGUGAGAAAUGAUGAACUGUGAUCAGAGCCCAGGAUCAGAGCUGCCUGCUCUAUACUAUCGACAGAGCCUGUCUGUUGAAACUGAGGUGAAAACUCCAAAUCCCUUGAACAGCAAAACAAGUGAGGUAAUAAGUAUUAUUAUUACAUUUAGAAAACACAGAUGUGUCUGUCUAUCUUUUGGAUUUGAUCAUUUAAGUUCCCGUUGUCUCGAGCUUUGUCUCUCAGGCCCCAGUUCUCUGUGCCUUUGGCACCCAGGUGGUGA